AUUGAACGCUGGCGGAAUGCUUUACACAUGCAAGUCGAACGGCAGCACGGACUUCGGUCUGGUGGCGAGUGGCGAACGGGUGAGUAAUGUAUCGGAACGUGCCCAGUCGUGGGGAUAACGUAGUGAAAAUUACGCUAAUACCGCAUACGAUCUAUGGAUGAAAGCGGGGGAUCGCAAGACCUCGCGCGAUUGGAGCGGCCGAUAUCAGAUUAGGUAGUUGGUGGGGUAAAGGCCCACCAAGCCAACGAUCUGUAGCUGGUCUGAGAGGACGACCAGCCACACUGGAACUGAGACACGGUCCAGAGUCCUACGGGAGGCAGCAGUGGGGAAUUUUGGACAAUGGGCGAAAGCCUGAUCCAGCCAUUCCGCGUGCAGGAUGAAGGCCCUCGGGUUGUAAACUGCUUUUGUACAGAACGAAAAGGUUUCUACUAAUACUAGGAGCUCAUGACGGUACUGCAAGAAUAAGCACCGGCUAACUACGUGCCAGCCGCCGCAGUAA
rnacentral:rRNA from 1 species